rnacentral:rRNA from 1 species
GUGUCAGCCGCCGCGGUAAUACAGAGGGGGCAAGCGUUAUUCGGAAUUAUUGGGCGUAAAGGGCGCGUAGGCGGCCAGUCAAGUGGAAGGUGAAAUCCCUCGGCUUAACCGAGGAACUGCCUUCCAGACUGUUUGGCUUGAGACCAGGAGAGGUGAGUGGAAUUCCCAGUGUAGCGGUGAAAUGCGUAGAUAUUGGGAGGAACACCAGUGGCGAAGGCGGCUCACUGGACUGGUACUGACGCUGAGGCGCGAAAGCGUGGGGAGCAAACGGGAUUAGAAACCCUAGUAGUCC